rnacentral:misc_RNA from 1 species
AAAAAGACCAUUCGGCUCCCUAACUAUUUCUCCUACCCUCUCUUUUUGUUAGUGGCUUAAAAUUCAUUAUGUUUCUCAUUCAUCCUACUCUUUUACAAACGUGUCCGAGCAGAAGUUUUUUCUCUUAUUACAAGUCGUGUGAUGUGUGAUAUAUAUGAUCCACGUACAAAUGAACACCCUUGAGCAAGGAAUUCCCAUUUGAAUAAUUCACAAUCCAUAUCAUUGCUCAUACUGAAACUUACAAAGUCUUCUUUUGGAAGAUUCAAUAAGGAAU